GUGCAUCUCUUCAUCUGAAGCCUCAUUGAGAGUCUCUUUUGGAGAUUCAUCACAACUUUCUACAUUCACAUUUGGGUUGGUUUUCUCCUUUAUCUGAAAUGGAAAAUUGAAAUUUGUGGAAUGCAUUAAAGAAAAAUUAAAAUAUGCUAACACAUAAAGGAUUGUAAAAUCUGGCAAUCAGUUCAACAAUCUAGAGUGGUGACAUCCUUGGGCUUGGUGGGUUCAAUCAUUUCCAUCUUUCGGAGAGAAAAAGGCAUAUUUUCAUUGAUUUGACGAAGUCACUUGUAUUUACAAUAAUUUGGUUUGGU
rnacentral:misc_RNA from 1 species